rnacentral:lncRNA from 1 species
GCACCCAGACCGGCAGGCUGAGCAGGCUCUGUGUGGGUGAGACAGCAGAACCGGUGGGGUAGUCAGCAGAAAGAUCUGGACACCCCAGCCUAGAUGUCCCGUCCCCGAGCCCUGACAUCAGCCCUCCUCUCUUUACUAAUGCAUGAUGCCUGAUAACAGAAAUGCGUUGUUUAAAAGAAUAAGAAAACUCAGCAUGCUGAAGGUAACACUUCACAAGCUCUGCUCCUGGGUCCAAGGUCAGGAGAGGGACCAGGGGCUUGAGAAGAGUCCAUUUGGAAAAGACUUAAAGUUCUCCAGAAACAGCAGUAAUGGUGAUGACAACUAACAUGACCCGGCGGUGACUUUACCAGUUGAGGAAACUGAUGCUUGGAGAGGGAAAGUACCUGGCCCAGAGGAGCCGAGCUAAGUGACAGGGCCCGGACUUGAGCCCUAGUGUCCUUGUUUCAUCCAAGCUGGUUACACCCACCACGAUGCAAAGACUUUGAAGCUGUGAGGACGCGAGCACCCAGAGCCUGGCGGGGUCAUCUCACCAAACUCCAAGCGCACAGGUCUGGGGAGAACCGGGCUCUUGCUGCUCCUGCUGCAGGGGGAGAAUGAGGCAGAGGGAUGACCUGGAAGAGGAGCCAAGCUCUUCACACGUUCCAUUAAACAAGUAUGGAUGGAAUCUUUUUUGGAUAAGUGCAAAGAAAUGCCUGAAGUGACCUCUCACUUAUGGAGACCUGAUUUUUGAUAACCUCCACAUCCCACAGCCUGUGAAUAAACCAAAAAAAGAGAAAAGCCGUAUUCCUCCCACAGAUGAGGAAACUGGAGCUUGGAGGGAAUGAAUUGCUGGACGUCACAGAGAUGAGCUGGGACUUGAGUUUCAUGCUUCUCAUUCCAGAGGGUGCCCUAGCUUCGCCUCCAUCACAUGGCCUGGGACACUGGAACCUGAUGAGAACCCAGGAGAAGGGACCUUGGGCUGGCCAGGUACUUUCCCUUUGCCCAUGCAGUGCUGCUGGUGGCAACAGCUUCCAUGUCAUACAGGAGGGAACGGAGGCUCGGAACUGCCAAAGCUCCACACGGAUACACCCUUGUAGAGAGACUCCCCCCAUGGAAGGGUCACCUCAACCACUUUCUGCUGGUUCCCUUGCAGACAUUUCAAACUUUGUCACCUAUUCAAAGAUGGCUUUCUACGGACUACAUGAGCAACCAACAAGCUAACCCAUUGGGUGCCAUGAAAAAACAUGAAGCAACAGCCACAUAGGAGAGGGGAUUCCGCACUUGGAGAUGCUGGUCCUACCUGACGGAUGAAGACCCCUGGUGGGAGGUCACCUGGCUCCCAUCUGUCGAGGGCUGUCAGUCCUACACCUGUCCUCUCACAGGCUAAGCCAAUCUGCAAGCCCAUUUGAAUGAAGGUGUCAUGUGGUGAACCACUGUUUUACAUGCC